rnacentral:rRNA from 1 species
AUCCUGGCUCAGGAUGAACGCUAGCUACAGGCUUAACACAUGCAAGUCGAGGGGAAACGAUAGAGAAAGCUUGCUUUUCUAGGCGUCGACCGGCGCACGGGUGAGUAACGCGUAUCCAACCUGCCCAUCACUUGGGGAUAACCUUGCGAAAGUAAGACUAAUACCCAAUGACGUCUCUAGAAGACAUCUGAAAGAGAUUUAAAGAUUUAUCGGUGAUGGAUGGGGAUGCGUCUGAUUAGCUUGUUGGCGGGGUAACGGCCACCAAGGCGACGAUCAGUAGGGGUUCUGAGAGGAAGGUCCCCCACAUUGGAACUGAGACACGGUCCAAACUCCUACGGGAGGCAGCAGUGAGGAAUAUUGGUCAAUGGACGAGAGUCUGAACCAGCCAAGUAGCGUGCAGGAUGACGGCCCUAUGGGUUGUAAACUGCUUUUAUAAGGGAAUAAAGUGAGUCUCGUGAGACUUUUUGCAUGUACCUUAUGAAUAAGGACCGGCUAAUUCCGUG